rnacentral:lncRNA from 1 species
CAAAUUUAACCAAACUUGGCCACAAUCAUCAUUGGGGUAUCUAGUUUAAAAAAUGUGUCCGGUGACCCGGCCAACCAACCAAGAUGGCCGCCAUGGCUAAAAAUAGAACAUAGGGGUAAAAUGCAGUUUUUGGCUUAUAACUCAAAAACCAAAGCAUUUAGAGCAAAUCUGACAUGGGGUAAAAAUGUUUCAUCAGGUCAAGAUCUAUCUGCCCUGAAAUUUUCAGAUGAAUCGGACAUUCCGUUGUUGGGUUGCUGCCCCUGAAAUGGUAAUUUUAAGGAAAUUUUGCUGUUUUUGGUUAUUAUCUUGAAUAUUAUUAUAGAUAGAGAUAAACUGUAAACAGCAAUAAUGUUCAGCAAAGUAAGAUCUACAAAUAAGUCAACAUGACCAAAAUGGUCAGUUGACCACUUUAGGAGUAAUUGCCCUUUAUAGUCAAUUUUUAACCAUUUUUCGUAAAUCUUAGUAAUCUUUUAGAAAAAUCUUCUCCUCUGAAACUACUGGGCCAAAUUUAACCAAACUUGGCCAUAAUCAUCAUUGGGGUAUUUAGUUUAAAAAAAAAUGUCCGGUGACCCGGCCAACCAACCAAGAUGGCCGCCAUGGCUAAAAAUAGAACAUAGGGGUAAAAUGCAGUUUUUGGCUUAUAACUCAAAAACCAAAGCAUUUAGAGCAAAUCUGACAGGAAGUAAAAUUGUUGAUCAGGUCACGAUCUAUCUGCCCUGGAAUUUUCAGAUGAAUCGGAUAAUCAGUUGUUGGGUUGCUGCCCCUGAAAUGGUAAUUUUAAGGAAAUUUUGCUGUUUUUGGUUAUUAUCUUGAAUAUUAUUAUAGAUAGAGAUAAACUGUAAACAGCAAUAAUGUUCA